rnacentral:rRNA from 1 species
AUACUUAGUACGGCGAGUGAAGCGGUAAAAGCUCAAAUUUGAAAUCUGGUACUUUCAGUGCCCGAGUUGUAAUUUGUAGAAUUUGUCUUUGAUUAGGUCCUUGUCUAUGUUCCUUGGAACAGGACGUCAUAGAGGGUGAGAAUCCCGUUUGGCGAGGAUACCUUUUCUCUGUAAGACUUUUUCGAAGAGUCGAGUUGUUUGGGAAUGCAGCUCAAAGUGGGUGGUAAAUUCCAUCUAAAGCUAAAUAUUGGCGAGAGACCGAUAGCGAACAAGUACAGUGAUGGAAAGAUGAAAAGAACUUUGAAAAGAGAGUGAAAAAGUACGUGAAAUUGUUGAAAGGGAAGGGCAUUUGAUCAGACAUGGUGUUUUUUGCAUGCACUCGCCUCUCGUGGGCUUGGGCCUCUCAAAAAUUUCACUGGGCCAACAUCAAUUCUGGCAGCAGGAUAAAUCAUUAAGAAUGUAGCUACUUCGGUAGUGUUAUAGCUUUUUGGAAUACUGUUAGCCGGGAUUGAGGACUGCGCUUCGGCAAGGAUGUUGGCAUAAUGGUUAAAUGCCGCCCGUCUUGA